GAUGAAGAACGUAGCGAAAUGCGAUACGUAAUGUGAAUUGCAGAAUUCAGUGAAUCAUCGAAUCUUUGAACGCAUAUUGCGCUCUCUGGUAUUCCGGAGAGCAUGCUUGUUUGAGUAUCAGUAAACACCUCAACUCCCUUUUCUUUUUUGAAAUGGGAGCUGGACUUGAGUGAUCCCAACACUUUUCUCACUGGAAAGUGGCGGGUCACUUGAAAUGCAGGUGCAGCUGGACUUUUCUCUGAGCUAUAAGCAUAUCUAUUUAGUCUGCCUAAAAAACAGAUUAUUACCUUUGCUGCAGCUAACAUAAAGGAGAUGAGUUCUUGAGCUGACUGAUGCAGGAUUCACAGAGACAGCUUUGCGGCUGACUUUGUAAACUCGAUCUCAAAUCAAGUAAGACUACCCGCUGAACUUAAGCAUAUCAAUAAGCGGAGGA
rnacentral:misc_RNA from 1 species